rnacentral:rRNA from 1 species
UACGUAGGGUGCAAGCGUUGUCCGGAAUUAUUGGGCGUAAAGAGCUCGUAGGCGGUUUGUCGCGUCGGGAGUGAAAUCCACUGGCUUAACUGGUGGCUUGCUUUCGAUACGGGCAGACUGGAGGUAUGCAGGGGAGAGCGGAAUUCCUGGUGUAGCGGUGAAAUGCGCAGAUAUCAGGAGGAACACCGGUGGCGAAGGCGGUUCUCUGGGCAUGUCCUGACGCUGAGGAGCGAAAGUGUGGGGAGCGAACAGG